CCUAUUGCUAAAUCGUACCGAGCUGUAAGUGGUGUGGCACCGCUCGUGGCAAAGAUCCUGCAACCCCCUCCGGGCAUGCAGUAUAAGUGUCCUAAAGCAAUAGUAGCAGCUCGAGCAGCGAUAUCAAAAACAGCUUUCGCUAAGAACCUCCGGCCACAGCCUUUAUCAUCCAAAGUACUAGUCAUCGGGAUGCUGGGGAUGGCCCUGAACGUGCCUCUAGGGGUUUGGAGAGAGCACACUGAAAAGUUCUCUGCAUCUUGGUUUGUAGCUCUACACGCAGCGGUUCCUUUCAUUGGAAUACUGAGGAAGUCAGUGUUGAUGCCUAAGAUGGCGAUGGUUUUUACCAUAGCAGCGUCUGUUAUGGGACAAGUGAUUGGGUCAAGAGCAGAGAGGUAUAGGCUUAAGUCGGUGGCUCAGAAGAAAAUGACGUUGACAGGACCAGAUCAUGUGGAUGGAAGGUGCGGCGAUAAAGUGGUGAUAAAAUGGAAUCCCAUGUUGCUUGAAGUAGCAAGUCCUGUUUCUACGGGAGCAGCUAGUGUUGUCUGCUAAAAGAUUUUUGGUUUCUUCUUCGCAGAGCUCGAUAUAUGUGUAGUUGUUUCUUUUGUUGUUUUGUCCAUUGUAUUUGAAAAUUUCAAAAUGUUCGAGUAAGGUAAGAAUAGGUGUAAAAAAAUAAAAAUAAAAAUAAAGUGUUUUUUUUUCUUAUUUUAUACACAUUCUAAAAGAAAUGAAAAAAAAAUGAUUUUCUAUAAAUUAAUAUUAGAUGAUAAGUUUAAGCUUUUCUUAACUGUAAGACGAAUCUUCCAAUAAGGGUUACAAUUUUUUUUUUCACUGAAAAUUUUAUUAAACAAAGUCCAAACGGGUUAAGGUGAUGAUUGUUUCAGUAGUUUUCAGUUUUAGUUUUUGGUUUUUAGAUUUUAGUUUUUGAUUUUUAGAUUUUGGUUUUUGGUUUUCAACUUUUGGUUUUAGGUUUUUGGUUUUUAGAUUUAGAUUUUGAUUUUUGGUUUUGCAGUAAUUUUUUUUAUUUUUGCAAAAAUUAAUUAAUGAGUUACUUUGAAAUAUUUCAACAUAAUAGAAUAAAUAUUUAUAUUUACAAUUAAAAUUAUCAAAAUAUUGUAAUAAUUAUUUUAAAAUAAAAUACAAUAACAUAUUUUAAUUAUUAUAGUUUUUCCCUGUAAGCAACCACUUAAAUUGUUUUUUUUUCUCAUCUUGUAUUUGUAUCCAUCCAUCAGAUGCUUUUUACUGACUAAUAACAAACUCCUUUCCAGGUGCGAACAGGGCAAGGUCCAAUCUUUGAGGAUGGGCCCAAUUUCGACACUGCGUUUAGGCUUUUCCAUGGUCAAGAUGGUGUUGUCCCGCUCUCGGACAGCCCUCGUGCCGGAGCGGAUAAGCCUUCGCUUUCCUCUCCUGGGUUCAAUCCACUUGCUGCUAAGGCGGCGACUAUUAGUCUCUCCUCCUUUGGACAUGGAGGGCCUUUUGGAUUCGAUGCGUUUUCCGACAUGUUUAAGAACCAAAAGAGAAAGUCAGACUCUUCCAAAAAUAAAGAUUCUUCUUCCUCUAAGGUAAAGCGUUGUUCUUGCUCAACAUGUAAUGUCUUGGCUUAUGAGAUAAAAACUCUUAGAGCAUUGCUUACUUGUUGUUUUGCUCUUUCAGGGAGGAAACCACGAGUCUAUGAGCGACGACUGGCUUCAAACAGGAAACUGCCCUAUUGCUAAAUCGUACCGAGCUGUAAGUGGUGUGGCACCCCUCGUGGCAAAGAUCCUGCAACCCCCUCCGGGCAUGCAGUAUAAGUGUCCUAAAGCAAUAGUAGCAGCUCGAGCAGCGAUAUCAAAAACAGCUUUCGCUAAGAACCUCCGGCCACAGCCUUUAUCAUCCAAAGUACUAGUCAUCGGGAUGCUGGGGAUGGCCCUGAACGUGCCUCUAGGGGUUUGGAGAGAGCACACUGAAAAGUUCUCUGCAUCUUGGUUUGUAGCUCUACACGCAGCGGUUCCUUUCAUUGG
rnacentral:lncRNA from 1 species